AAGGGGGCGGAGCAAAGUGUGUGUACAGGAGAGGAGUGGAUAAGAGAGCUGCUUUUUCAUGAAACGGGGGUAAAGUAGUAAACCUACAGGAACAUAUACCACUACCAACGUUUGGAUAUUUCUCUCUAUAGUUUCUCUCGGUUCGUGGGCUCAUCUAAAGCUGAGUAACAGGAGGAAAAGAGUCUGGUAGAGCAACAGAGGAACAAUUUCAGCCAUUUGGACUCAGCUCAGCCACUACAGAGGAAAGAAUGACUUCAACACAAAAGGACCAACGUGGAGCGAGAAGUCAGUGCUCUCAGGAGGCUGACAAACCUCACAGAAGAAAGGGAGAGAAAACAUACAGCUGUGAUAACUGUGGGAAGGAUUUUAUGCGGGGUGGAGACUUAAAAAGACACCAACUCAUCCACAGUGGACUUAAACCUUACAGCUGUG